CCUACGGGAGGCUGCAGUGAGGAAUAUUGGUCAAUGGGCGGGAGCCUGAACCAGCCAAGUCGCGUGAGGGAAGACGGUCCUAUGGAUUGUAAACCUCUUUAGGCGGGGAGCAAUGCCGGGCACGUGUGCCCGGAGGGAGAGUACCCGCAGAAUAAGCAUCGGCUAACUCCGUGCCAGCAGCCGCGGUAAUACGGAGGAUGCGAGCGUUAUCCGGAUUUAUUGGGUUAAAAGGGUGCGUAGGCGGAUUUUUAAGUCAGCGGUAAAAUGUCCGGGCUCAACCCGGGCCGGCCGUUGAAACUGGGGAGCUUGAGUGGGCGAGAAGUAUGCGGAAUGCGUGGGGUAGCGGUGAAAUGCAUAGAUAUCACGCAGAACUCCGAUUGCGAAGGCAGCAUACCGGCGCCCGACUGACGCUGAGGCACGAAAGCGUGGGGAUCGAACAGGAUUAGAUACCCGGGUAGUC
rnacentral:rRNA from 1 species